rnacentral:rRNA from 1 species
AGAGUUUGAUCCUGGCUCAGGAUGAACGCUAGCGACAGGCCUAACACAUGCAAGUCGAGGGGCAGCGUGCCGUAGCAAUACGGUGACGGCGACCGGCGCACGGGUGAGUAACGCGUAUGCAACCUGCCCGCGGACGCGGGAUAGCCUCCCGAAAGGGAGAUUAAACCCGCAUGGCGAGGACUGGCCGCAUGGCCUAUCCUCCAAACACCAGGGUCCGCGGAUGGGCAUGCGUUCCAUUAGGUAGUAGGCGGGGCAACGGCCCACCUAGCCUGCGAUGGAUAGGGGUUCUGAGAGGAAGGUCCCCCACACUGGUACUGAGACACGGACCAGACUCCUACGGGAGGCAGCAGUGAGGAAUAUUGGUCAAUGGGCGAGAGCCUGAACCAGCCAAGUCGCGUGAAGGAAGAAGGUUCUAUGGAUUGUAAACUUCUUUUGCAGGGGAAUAAAGGACGGUACGUGUACUGUUUUGUAUGUACCCUGCGAAUAAGGAUCGGCUAACUCCGUGCCAGCAGCCGCGGUAAUACGGAGGAUCCGAGCGUUAUCCGGAUUUAUUGGGUUUAAAGGGUGCGUAGGCGGCCUGUCAAGUCGGCGGUGAAACCCCCGGGCUCAACCCGGGGACUGCCGUCGAAACUGACGGGCUUGAGUACGUUGGGAGUGCGCGGAAUGUGUGGUGUAGCGGUGAAAUGCUUAGAUAUCACACAGAACACCGAUCGCGAAGGCAGCGCACUACGCCGUAACUGACGCUGAGGCACGAAGGUGCGGGGAUCGAACAGGAUUAGAUACCCUGGUAGUCCGCACAGUAAACGAUGGAUGCUCGCCGUCCGCGAUAUACAGCGGGUGGCCAAGCGAAAGCGAUAAGCAUCCCACCUGGGGAGUACGCCGGCAACGGUGAAACUCAAAGGAAUUGACGGGGGCCCGCACAAGCGGAGG